CCCACCCCCAGCACAGACUUAUGGAAAGCUAUUCCAGUGAUGAUUCCCUUAGGAAACCCAUAGGCAACCACACCACCAAAGAGUCCCAGGCAGGCAAUUAUUUACCUCAUGUAAAGCAGGCAGUGGAGCGGGGGUGGGGGGUGGAAGGUGGAGGCAGGAAUAGGAGGGCCUUGGAUCCCUAUCUACCUCUCCUCUCCCUCUGUGAUUGACAGGGGAAUUCACUGGGCCUGGUCUCCGGAGAGCUUCCUGCCAAUGAAAACUGCUCCAAUCAAGAUGGAAACAGUAAUGUUCAACUCAGAAGAAACGGCCACACCAUUGAGCUGCACACCAGAUUGGAGGCAUUAUUUCAAACAGAUUGCAGGUAUGCAGGAAGUAAAAGAGAAACAAAAAAAUGUAAAGAGAGAGAAAGGACACACUUCAGGAUCUACAAAAUCAGAUCAAGACUGUGCCACAUACUCCAUCCCUUUGGUGAGCAGUUUUAAUAUUUAAUUUUUAUGGUGAAAAUAGGUAGUGUCUAUGAUGACCUUGGUGG
ensembl:lncRNA